rfam:Candidate division NC10 bacterium RIFCSPLOWO2_02_FTLL_66_22 rifcsplowo2_02_scaffold_56575, whole genome shotgun sequence.
GUCACCGUGAGGUGGGGUCUGGAGGAAGCCCAAUCCAAACGCGCGGGGCGACGCACAGGAACCGGAUACGAGGUGUGGUACACCCGGGACGAGCGGGCACGUGACCGCGAAGUCCUCCAUCCGCACCGGGGUGUGCUUUAUAACUCCGGCGUCUACGCGCCAAACGUUCUGGGC